UCCUCGGCCUCUCAAAGGUCUGGGAUUACAGGCAUGAGCCACUAUGCCCGGCCUCUAUCUGCAUUUUGUGUUCAGUGUACACUUAUCAGUACAUAAAUUAUCUUGGCUAGUCGUCAUUUCUGUUGUCUAUCUCCAACCACCCCCGAAGCCUUUCAUCUCUAGCUCCCAGAGCUGGGGACUUGUCUUGUUUACUGCCGUAUUCCCAAUGCCUAGAGCUCAUGUGGCAUGCAGCAGGCACUGGCUAUGGGUGGAGGUCUCCAGCUCUGCUCCAGCUCCUGUCCCACACGGUGAGUAGCCUUCAGAAAAGGAAGUCCUUGAAAAGUGGAGGCUGGGGCUUUGUUCGGCCUUUCCCUGCCCCUAGGCUUGCGUUCAGCCCGUGGCUGUGUGUCCCUUCCUGGCUUUGCCCCUGAUUUGCUCAGUGUGGGUGAGCCAUAGCCAGUCUGGUGCUGAGGAAGGGGGUGGAUGGGAAGGGCGGGGCCCAUAUGUCAGUGAGACACAGGCCACAGUUCAGAUGGAUGGUAUCAAGUCUUCAUGACUUCAGCUGCACUUAGUUAAACAUGGACCAGCCCAUUGGAACCUUGUGGGCAGUAGUCUGAUUUCUGCUGUCAUUUCUGCUCUCUUCCAAGCUUCAAUUAAGGGAGCAACAAAAGAUCUCUAUCAUGAGCCAUGUGUGGUGAUCUCAUCUGCUGAGACAAAUAUUUUUUUUUCUGGUUAUAUUUAUAGAACACUCUCUUGUUUCCUUGAACAACCCUAGCUGGCAUUAUCUUGUUUACUUUCUCUUCAUCUAGAUUUGCAUUUGCAGGGGGGCAGCUUUUAUCUGUUGCUCUUAGCUGUGUGGGAUUUCAAAUUCCUCUGUUUUUCUUCUUUUAGCUUUCAUCUGUGAGCUCUUUUAAAAUCAAGCAGUUUGUAACUUAUAGUUACCAAGGCAGUAAUUAAUAUUAUAAGAAAAUAGACAACACCGGCUCCAGCUAAGCACUCUGUGAUAAUUUUUCUUAGCAGUGUCUUGUGGCCUUGCAGAGGAAAAUGGAACUUGGUAUUCCUUUCCCCUUUGUGCCAGUCAUGUGCUUCCUGAUGCCAGGCCUCCCUCCAGCCCUCCCAUCACAGGGAAACUAGUACAGACCACCCCCACAGACCUGUGGACUGACACCUGACUACCUUUGGGGGCAUCUGACCUUGCCUGCGGUCCCACGGUGACUCACAGUGAAACUAAGAUGCACAGCUCGGGUAGGAACCUGCUGGCCCAGCAAGAGAAUCUCUUCUUCGGGGACCCAUUAAGCUAGGCUCUGUCAGAUUGCUGGCCACAGUCCUCGAAAUCAAUUUCGUGACACAUUAAUGGGUUGUGAUUCUGAGUUUGUAAAUAGUUGGUCUGUUUGGACAUUGAAGUUACCCACGAUGAUGGCAAGACUUGGAAUGAAGUGGUGCCAAAGUCUUCAAUGAAUAUGGAGGGGCAGAGGCACAGCUCCAUGCAUUUGUCCUCGUGAAUGGCCUGUGAUUUCAGCACAAUCUAUUAGGUAGUAAUUCCAAUAUCCAAUUGAAGAAUAGAAAGGACUCCCCUGACGCACCAUGGGUAUGUAUCAUUUAAGCAAAAACAAAAGACAAAAGACAGUGGAUACUGAACAACCAGAUUCCCGUUUGUAAAACCUUGGAUCCAUAGUUUCCUCUAAUCCCACAGAAGGUUUUCUCAGACUCUGGCUGUCAGAGAGGAGAACUAUGAACUCACCUACUCAUUCAUGCUGCCCAGAACCAGAUGCACAAAGAACAAACAAGUUUCCCAGCAGGACUCAAAAUAGAAGGGAUGGUGACUGCAUGCCUUACCAUUCGGGAUCCUCUUCUUCCCGGAGAACUCCGCGCAGGCAGGCUUGGAGAGGGAAUGAAUUGAUCUGGCAUCGUGAAGAUUUGUUCAGCCUUCCCUGAGUGCAUCUUCUGACUCCUGGGGUAGGUAAGAAAUGGAGGGGCUCCUGGAGUCACCUUCAAGGCAGAUGAAGAGGAGCUAUGGAGGCCCUUUGAAGCAUGGCCCCUGGGCAUGGGAUCUGGUGAGAAACCUCCUUCCCAGCUUUGCCACUGAAACCAUGGAUUUUAAACUUCGGCAGAGUUUCCAAGCUUUCAUUUCCCAUCUAUCAAUAGGGAUAAUAAUAAUAAUAUACCUGUAUGACCUUGUUCACAGGUUUGCUGUCAAGGUCAAAUAAGACAAGCAAAAGUACCUUGUAGAUCCAGUAUUAUACUAGUUAAGAAGAAAGACUGGAGCCCAGUGGUCCGGAUUAAGUCCGCACACCUCCCCCAGCUCCACUAUGCACUUGUUGGGUGACCUUGGACAAGUUAUUUAACCUCCCUAUAACUCAGUUUCUUCCUUUACAAAAUAAGAAUGAGACUAGGACUUUCAUCAUAUGGUUAUGAGGAUUCAAAUGAGUUAAAUGUAAAGCACUCAGGCCAGGCGUGGUGGCUCACACCUGUAAUCCCAGCACUUUGGGAGGCUGAGGCAGCAAGAUUG
rnacentral:lncRNA from 1 species